rnacentral:rRNA from 1 species
AUUGAACGCUGGCGGCAGGCCUAACACAUGCAAGUCGAACGAGUGGCGGACGGGUGAGUGAUGUCUGGGAAACUGCCUGAUGGAGGGGGAUCACUACUGGAAACGGUAGCUAAUACCGCAUACCAUCGGAUGUGCCCAGAUGGGAUUAGCUAGUAGGUGGGGUAAAGGCUCACCUAGGCGACGAUCCCUAGCUGGUCUGAGAGGAUGACCAGCCAGACGGGAACUGAGACACGGGCCCGACUCCUACGGGAGGCAGAAGUGGGGAAUAUUGCACAAUGGGGGAAAGCCUGAUGCAGACAUGCCGCGUGUAUGAAGAAGGCCUUCGGGUUGUAAAGUACUUUCAGCGGGGAGGCGUUACCCGCAGAAGAAGCACCGGCUAACUCCGUGCCAGCAGCCGCGGUAAUAC